GAUAAACGCUGGCGGCGCACAUAAGACAUGCAAGUUGAACGGACUUAAUCGAAAUAUUUAUAUUUUGAAGCGGUUAGUGGCGGACUGGUGAGUAACGCGUAAGGAACCUGCCUAUUAGAGGGGAAUAACAGUGAGAAAUCAUUGCUAAUACCGCAUAUGCCAUAGAUAUCACAUGAUAACAGUGGGAAAGGAGCAAUCCGCUAAUAGAUGGCCUUGCGUCUGAUUAGAUAGUUGGUGGGGUAACGGCCUACCAAGUCGACGAUCAGUAGCCGGACUGAGAGGUGGAGAGGCCACCGUGGUACUGCGACACGGCCCAAACUCUGGCGGGAGGCAGCAGGUGGGAUCAUUCACGAAUGGGAGAAGGCGUGAUGGAGCAACGUCGCUUGGGUGAAGAAGGGCUUAGGAUCGUAAAACCCUGUUGUGAGAGACGAAAGUGCGUGAGACUAACUGUUACCGUCUCGCCGGUAUCGAAACAGAAAGCCACGGCUAACUACGUG
rnacentral:rRNA from 1 species